rnacentral:rRNA from 1 species
AUUGAACGCUGGCGGCAGGCCUAACACAUGCAAGUCGAGCGGAUGACGGGAGCUUGCUCCUUGAUUCAGCGGCGGACGGGUGAGUAAUGCCUAGGAAUCUGCCUGGUAGUGGGGGACAACGUGUCGAAAGGAAAGCUAAUACCGCAUACGUCCUACGGGAGAAAGCAGGGGACCUUCGGGCCUUGCGCUAUCAGAUGAGCCUAGGUCGGAUUAGCUAGUUGGUGGGGUAAUGGCUCACCAAGGCGACGAUCCGUAACUGGUCUGAGGGGAUGAUCAGUCACACUGGAACUGAGACACGGUCCAGACUCCUACGGGAGGCAGCAGUGGGGAAUAUUGGACAAUGGGCGAAAGCCUGAUCCAGCCAUGCCGCGUGUGUGAAGAAGGUCUUCGGAUUGUAAAGCACUUUAAGUUGGGAGGAAGGGCAGUAAGUUAAUACCUUGCUGUUUUGACGUUACCGACAGAAUAAGCACCGGCUAACUCUGUGCCAGCCGCCGCGGUAAGAC